GACGAACGCUGGCGGCGUGCCUAAUACAUGCAAGUUGAGCGCUGAAGGUUGGUACUUGUACCAACUGGAUGAGCAGCGAACGGGUGAGUAACGCGUGGGGAAUCUGCCUUUGAGCGGGGGACAACAUUUGGAAACGAAUGCUAAUACCGCAUAAAAACUUUAAACACAAGUUUUAAGUUUGAAAGAUGCAAUUGCAUCACUCAAAGAUGAUCCCGCGUUGUAUUAGCUAGUUGGUGAGGUAAAGGCUCACCAAGGCGAUGAUACAUAGCCGACCUGAGAGGGUGAUCGGCCACAUUGGGACUGAGACACGGCCCAAACUCCUACGGGAGGCAGCAGUAGGGAAUCUUCGGCAAGGGACGAAAGUCUGACCGAGCAACGCCGCGUGAGUGAAGAAGGUUUUCGGAUCGUAAAACUCUGUUGGUAGAGAAGAACGUUGGUGAGAGUGGAAAGCUCAUCAAGUGACGGUAACUACCCGGAAAGGGACGGCUAACUACGUG
rnacentral:rRNA from 1 species